UACGUAGGGUGCAAGCGUUUGUCCGGAAUUAUUGGGCGUAAAGAGCUCGUAGGCGGCCUGUCACGUCGGCUGUGAAAACCCGGGGCUCAACCCCGGGCCUGCAGUCGAUACGGGCAGGCUAGAGUUCGGCAGGGGAGACUGGAAUUCCUGGUGUAGCGGUGAAAUGCGCAGAUAUCAGGAAGAACACCCGUGGCGAAGGCGGCUCUCUGGGACGGUACUGACGCUGAGACGCGAAAGCGUGGGGAGCGAACAGG
rnacentral:rRNA from 1 species